UACGUAGGGGGCGAGCGUUGUCCGAAGUUACUGGGCGUAAAGCGCGCGUAGGCGGGGGGUUAAGUGAGAGGUGAAAGGCUGCGGCUCAACCGCAUGCAGGGCCUCUCAUACUGGCCCUCUUGAGGGCGGCAGGGAGAAGUGGAAUGGCUGGUGUAGCGGUGAAAUGCGUAGAUAUCAGUCGGAACACCGGUAGCGAAGGCGGCUUCUUGGGCCGCUCCUGACGCUGAGGCGCGAAAGCCAGGGGA
rnacentral:rRNA from 1 species